rnacentral:misc_RNA from 1 species
AACGCACAUUGCGCCCGCCAGUAUUCUGGCGGGCAUGCCUGUCCGAGCGUCAUUUCAACCAUCAAGCCUAGUGCUUGUGUUGGGGCCCCGCGGCUGCCGCGGGCCCUGAAAACCAGUGGCGGGCUCGAAGUCGAACCGAGUGCAGUAAAUUUCUUCGCUUGGCAAGGUGACGAGUUCCGGCCGUAAAAAGCCCAACUUUCUCAAGGUUGACCUCGGAUCAGGUAGGACUACCCGCUGAACUUAA